UACAAUGGAUGUCAUCUUCAACAAUCUUGGGGCAUGUGUUAUAGAGCAAUGUGGGCAAUGGUGACUGGGAAGCGAGGAAAGCUAUAGGUAUUUUUAUUGAUUUAUAAUCAGCCAAAAAGAUUGCUUUAUGUGACCUUUUAUUUAUAUUAUCCCUUUUCUGCACGGCAGCUGUCUUUCUGACUUGGUGUCAGUCGUAGUUUUCCAAUCACACUUAAUCUGCUUUGAGGAUGGUUAAACCUUUCUUAUUAAUAACCAACAAACAAUAAUUACUAUCACAGUUUUUUCAAUUAAAAAAACCCCAGAAACCCUAAUUAAUACUACAGUUUUUUCAAUUAAAAAACCCUAGAAACCCUAAGGUGUAAAUUUUGUUCCUUAUCUGUUAUAUAUGUCUAGAAUUCAGAAUUUGGUUAUCUCUGAGCAUCAGUUAUGUAUGUUUAUUUUAAGUAGCAGUUGAAGAUGGCAUCGAGGCUUGCUGUGGAUCAAGAAAUAUUGGAUGGGGUAACGCUGUUAAUCGACUUAAGAAAGGGCUUUGAAUGGUUGGAGAAGAAGCUCAGACAUAUCUGUGGUUAUCUGCAAACUACGGAUCAAAUAAGAACCCACGAUCUCUCUGUUAAAGAAUGGCGGCAGGAAGUGAGGGAUAUCGUGGAGUACAAGGAGGAUGAAUUUCUCAGCUUGUUUCUUUCAUGGAAUGGGGUGAACUGGGUAAAACAUUCCAUUAACUUACACAAGAAUUUGGUAAGUUGCCACUCGCCAUUAACACAGUUGACAUGAUGUUUUGGGAAUAAGUGAGCUCAAAUCUCUUUCCCAUCUUGAUGUAAAUGGCUUUCUACAAGAUUUUCUCUAUGGUCACAUGCCAAAGGGAAUAUCAAAGCUAAAUGCAAAAGAUGUUAGCAAUUUGAUUGUGGACAAGGAGAUCAUUGACCUCACUAUCUAUUGAAGACAAUGAAUUCUUAAAUGUUUAAAAAUGUUGGGGAUUUGAUCAAUCUCCAAGAAAUAAAUCUUCUUUUGAAAGAAGAACAACACUUGAAAUGUGAAGAAAAUGGUGUCUUGUGUUGAGAUCUCUGGGCAUAUCAACAAUGGAGAAUAAUAUCUGGCAUUAAUCAUCACUUCCCUCUUCCAGGGGUCCAAAAAUAAACAGCCAGCAGACUGUUUGUUAUUUGGAGUUUUCAAUGCCCCAAAUAACAAACAAUGUGCUGGCUUUUUAAACUUUUAUCUUCAGAUGGAUUCGAAUAGUUAAGAAGAUUUAAAAAGAUAUGUGGAAGCAGACAAACAGUGAAUUAGAGAAGCCAAUAAUGUGCAGGUUGAGAUUUGUGUCUGACAGGAUUUGAAGUAAUUCUUUCUCCAUCCAAACGCGGCAUUUAAUUGUGUUAGUUUUUGCCUUUCUCAUAUAUCAUCGAGGAAGAUUACAAUCUGGAAGAGGAAUGCAAAUGACUGACAAUAAAUCAAUUUAACCAUGAUAAUCCGAGAACCCAAAUAAUUGUACAACUUUGACUGUUUGACGAAUGUAUUCUACCAUGUAGAUGGUUUACCAGAAUUUUGUCAUAAUUUGGUCUUUUCUUUCAAAUUCAUACAUAACAACUAAUCUAAAUUUGUAUUUUUAAUAUGUUUGACUUGAGUGGCGAUUAUCGUUUUUUUGUUUUUGGCUUGAGUAGAUGAUAAGCUUAUAACACAUAACCCAGUUAUAGAAGUCAUCAAAGGAACCAUACAGAGUCUUAAAAAAACCAUUAUGGUGCACAAGCACUAUUUUUUUAACUGUAAAUAAAAACAGCAGCACGGGAAGUGCCCAAAUCUGAAUUAAUCUGAACAUCCACACAUGAGCAUAGUUCAACCUAGAUCAAUUAUUUUUCAGCUGCAUGGGCGGAUAACUAGAAUAACAUACUAUUUUAGCAAGGUAAUUAAGAAAGAUGAGUGUCAAGCCAAUUAGAUACCUAAAAAUAAGUAUAAAUCAAACUAAUUAAUUAAUUAAUAAUUUAGAAACAAGCAAUUUUAGAAAAUUAAUUGUGAAAGAGGAGCUUUCUUAGCUAAAGGAGUGAUGUUGAAGGUAUUUCUGAUGUAGGCCCUGGAAUUUUGCUCUUAGAAUUAAACAUGGUGCUGUGUAUUUGAAGGGUUUAUUCCUGUAAAUAUCUACACUCCCCUGAACAGAAUAGCAGAUUCUUAUUUCUUUCCUUUGGCUUAUCAACAGAGCAAACACAACCCACAAUAUAAUAUCCGAUAACAUAGCAUCCAAGUCCCUAAACAAGAAGGAGAAAGUGUCAAAAUUGGCAGUCGUGGAGAAAUACAAACAGCAGACAUAGGUCUCCGAGCUGAGAAUUUUCCUAUCCAAAACCCACCCCCAAAAAUGGAAGCUAUGAACACUAUAAUGGCAGCCAAAGAGAAAGCAAUCAUAGUGGCAAUGGAAGCUGAGAAUUUUCCUAUCCAAAACCCACCCCAAAACAAGAAGGAGAAAGUGUCAAAAUUGGCAGUCGUGGAGAAAUACAAACAGCAGACAUAGGUCUCCGAGCUGAGAAUUUUCCUAUCCAAAACCCACCCCAAAAAAUGGAAGCUAUGAACACUAUAAUGGCAGCCAAAGAGAAAGCAAUCAUAGUGGCAAUGGCUCCUUUUCUUAUCUAUUCAUUUUCUGUUUUGACAGCUCUCUGUCCCCUCAAAAUAUAGCAGCGGCUCCACCAGAAUAGCAUUCCAUGGCAUCCCUUUACUCCCCUCUCCUGCAACUCCAAAGUCAAGGCAGAACCUGCAAGAAAACCAUCCACACUCCUUGUGUGGCCCCCACAGGCAAUGUAUUGCCUUUCUCAUCCACUCCAUACUGCUGGGCAAGUCAAACAUACAUCAUUUUGGAUUCAGUGGAACAGAUGGAUUCCAUUCCCUCCUCCAAUGGUGUUCAGAGGCCUUUUUUCUCCUCCAACAACCUAUCUUCCCUCUUUGGUCUGCACAGCCCAUGUCUUAUUUUUGAUGAAAUGCCAUUAUUUUAAAUUUUUAUUGCCUUUUACCUCCAACAAGACACUUCUCAUUCCUUUAAUUUGUUUUAUCUUUCAUAUAUAUAUGCUGUUCACUAAAGGGCUCACUGAACGUGUUGGUUGUAGAUUCAUUCUAAACAGCUGGAGGACAGGCAUAAACCUCAACAAGAAGGAUUACCAUUUCCAAGACAACUUCGGCUAUAAACCUUCUAAACAGAUUCCCUGCAUGACAACAUCUCUACAAACAACGUUGGAUACUACUCAGUUGUUUUCCAAUCAUUUUGUCUGCCUCAGUCUACAAGAAUUGCACAGAAAACAAUCAUGGUAUGCAAUAAGCAAGUUUAUUACAUCAGUGGUCAUCGAGGCCAGAGGAAAAAUAUUAAGAGGAACAUUUCAGUACUUUGCAUAGAUGGAGGGACUGUGACUCUGAGGAUCAUAAAGAGGAUAAAAUAGUACAUACAAGUUCUGGGCUAUGAUAAAAAGAUCUCUUUGAACUGUGGAUACUCUUGGUUUGAAUCCAUUUACGAGGUAAAACUAGUUGGGCUAUUUGGUGAAAUCAUAAGUCCUUGGGGGUGUGUGUUUUUGGUUCAUAAGAUUAGUAUUAAAUGCAGAAAACUCAGAUGUUUGCCACUGCUAAACAUGAUUAUGAUGAAAAUUUUCUGGGCCAGUUUUUUCAGGAAAGUUGGAAACUAAAGAUUUAAUCAAGGACUUUAAUAGAGUGGAAACAACAAAUGUGAGGAGGAUAAAAACAACUGUCGCAAAGCUACAGCAAGACCAGAAAUAACACUAAGUAACAAAAGGCAGGAUUUGCUAAGAGCCGAAGUCCUAGCAGUGAGGGAGGGACAACAGAAAUACGGAGCUGUCCAUGCAGGCACCAAAAGGGCCCUUGACAACACAGUUUACUUUUUAAUAAUUAAAAUGUCUUGUCAAGGCCCUUUUGGUGCCUGCAUAGACAAUUCCCAGAAAUACUGUAAAGAAAAAAUAGCACAGGCGAAAAACAAUAGGACUUGGUUCAUAAAGAGCUGAAGUCCCUAGCAACAGGGAAGAGACAGUAGAAACGAUGGGAA